UGAACGCUGGCGGCGUGCUUAACACAUGCAAGUCGUACGAGAAAUCUUCAGCUUGCUGAAGAGAGUAAAGUGGCGCACGGGUGAGUAACGCGUGGAUAAUCUAUCCUUGAAUCGGGGAUAACGUUGCGAAAGUGACGCUAAUACCGGAUGACAUCAUAAAGGCUUUGGCCUUAAUGAUCAAAGAUGACCUCUACCUGUAAGUUGUUGUUUGAGGAGGAGUCCGCGUACCAUUAGCUUGUUGGUAGGGUAACGGCCUACCAAGGCCACGAUGGUUAGCUGGUCUGAGAGGAUGAUCAGCCACACUGGAACUGACACACGGUCCAGACUCCUACGGGAGGCAGCAGUGAGGAAUUUUGCGCAAUGGGGGAAACCCUGACGCAGCAACGCCGCGUGAGUGAUGAAGGCUUUAGGGUCGUAAAGCUCUGUCAAGUGGGAAGAACCUAUCCGAAAAUAAUAAGUUCGGGUACUGACGGUACCACUGAAGGAAGCACCGGCUAACUCC
rnacentral:rRNA from 1 species